UAGGAAACCCAGAUGAAAGAAAAUUAAGCGUAAUGGGGAAUAAUGUAACUCUAGAAAAGCAGGACACCUCAGCAGAUGAGACUGACCAAUAACACCCCGCCACGUGGAUAGCCACGCCAGCUGACCUGCACGUGUGGUCAGCCACGCAAACAGGAGGGUGUGUAGAUUGGAUUGCUAGGAUUCUAGAUACCGAAGGAACGGCUAAGGGUUAAUUUAGAAAUGAGCGAUUGGAACUAAAAGGCCAGAAGAUCGAACAGCUAUGAGAACUGAUUGUUUCAAUUUGCAGAGUAGAGAGAUCCAACGGUCUAGAUUUCGCUCAGAUAAAAAGUAUGAAAUUACUAUUAGUGAGGCUUGAUCCUCAGGUCCUUCUGUUGCCAUGCACGC
rnacentral:lncRNA from 1 species